GACGAACGCUGGUGGCGUGCUUAACACAUGCAAGUCGAACGGUAAGGCCCUUCGGGGUACACGAGUGGCGAACGGGUGAGUAACACGUGGGUGAUCUGCCCUGCACUUCGGGAUAAGCCUGGGAAACUGGGUCUAAUACCGGAUAGGACCCUGGGAUGCAUGUCCUGGGGUGGAAAGCUUUUGCGGUGUGGGAUGGGCCCGCGGCCUAUCAGCUUGUUGGUGGGGUGAUGGCCUACCAAGGCGACGACGGGUAGCCGGCCUGAGAGGGUGACCGGCCACACUGGGACUGAGAUACGGCCCAGACUCCUACGGGAGGCAGCAGUGGGGAAUAUUGCACAAUGGGCGCGAGCCUGAUGCAGCGACGCCGCGUGAGGGAUGACGGCCUUCGGGUCGUAAACCUCUUUCAGUAGGGACGAAGCGCAAGUGACGGUACCUACAGAAGAAGGACCGGCCAACUACGUGCCAGCCGCCGCGGUAA
rnacentral:rRNA from 1 species